rnacentral:rRNA from 1 species
CCUACGGGUGGCUGCAGUGGGGAAUAUUGGACAAUGGGGGCAACCCUGAUCCAGCAAUGCCGCGUGGGUGAUGAAGGCCUUCGGGUUGUAAAGCCCUUUCGGCGGGGACGAUGAUGACGGUACCCGCAGAAGAAGCCCCGGCUAACUUCGUGCCAGCAGCCGCGGUAAUACGAAGGGGGCUAGCGUUGUUCGGAAUGACUGGGCGUAAAGGGCGCGUAGGCGGCGAUUUUAGUCAGGCGUGAAAGCCCUGGGCUCAACCUAGGAACUGCGUUUGAUACUGGAUCGCUUGAGUGUGGGAGAGGAUGGUGGAAUUCCCAGUGUAGAGGUGAAAUUCGUAGAUAUUGGGAAGAACACCGGUGGCGAAGGCGGCCAUCUGGACCACUACUGACGCUGAGGCGCGAAAGCGUGGGGAGCAAACAGGAUUAGAUACCCCGGUAGUC